rnacentral:rRNA from 1 species
GACGUAGGUGGCGAACGUUAUCCGGAAUUAUUGGGCGUAAAGGGUGCGUAGGUGGUCUGACAAGUUAUCAGUGGCAAAUCGAGGCUCAACCUCGUGGAAACUGGUAAUACUGUUCGGCUUGAGUACAGGAGAGGUUAACGGAACUCUAUGUGGAGCGGUAAAAUGCACAGAUAUAUAGAAGAACAUCAAUAAAGGCGAAGGCAGUUAACUAUUCUGUUACUGACGCUGAGGCACGAAAGCGUGGGGAGCAAAACGG